GCCUGGGUGGCUCAGUCAGUUGAGCAUCCGACUUCGGCUCAGGUCAUGAUCUCACGGUUUGUGAGUUCGAGCCCCACGUCAGGCU
rnacentral:tRNA from 1 species